ncrna:unclassified sequences RAGATH-27 RNA
UUCAUCGUUUACUGAAAACUUCAAACUAUCACUCAUUUGUCUUUUUGCAUCGGGCAGACCAAUGUAAAACGUAAAAGAACCUGAUGC